GUUUACUUAUAAUUUUUUGUUAAUGACCUGAAUCAGGUGUAUUUGAUUACAAUCUUCGCUGAAAUGCUCCAAACAUUUUUUUUCCAGAAAUAAAAAGAAAUUAACAUGGUAAUUUUUUGAAAUUUAUCAAAGCCUGCAUUUUACAUUGUGUACUUGGAUGCUGUUGCAAAGACAUUUAUGAGUUUGCGUAAAGGUUAAACAAAAAUCAUGGACCGUAGUUGGAAAACGGUGCAUGUAAACAUGACCAAUAAGGAGAUGUAAUGACUGAUCUGUUUUGUUGCAGAAUUGCCUAGAGUAAAAGUAUCUCCAGGUGUCAUAAGAGAGUCCAGUGCUGUGAAGAUCAGCUGUGAGACACCAGCAGAUGUUAUAGUGUAUCAGUGUCAUUUCUACAUAAACAGAGAGGAGAAGAAAAUGAAAACCAGUGAAUCAUGUGAGCUCGAGCUCACUGGUGCUGAAGUGCUCAGAUGGGCAGCUGUAAAAUCACCUGGAUCACUCGACAUUAACUGUUACUACACAACAAAUAAGCAAGGUUCAGUCAUAGCAUCAUCUGAUUCUGAUCCUGCCACAGUGACUGUUCUAGCUUUAGUGUCAACCACCACUGAACAAACUAUUACAACAACCAUGAAAACCAGUGAGUAAUUGAGUUUGUAAAUCAGUUAUUCUUACUCCAUUCUGAAUGUUCUCAAAACGAUAAUAAAUCUUUCAAGCUCAUGAUUAUUGGUCAAACACCAACUACUUUGCAUCACCACACAAUGCCCUUUCAACAGCUUCAACUGUAAUAUCCACUGCUAAAACAACAACAUACAGUAAAACAGGUAAGCUACUGAUAACACAUUUUCUGAUUAUACUAGAUUAAAUUUGAGAAAUGACUCUUUAUUUUCUUCUUUAUUCACUCACAACACAAAACUGCUAUGCUAAAUAUUUGUAAAAACGAAAACAUAAUUUUUUCUCAUCAUGUCAUACGGUAUAUUAAGGUAAAAUUAAUUUAACAGCAAAAAUCGACAUAUAACUUACUUGAUUCAGUGGCAUAUUUAUUUCCUUAUUGCAAUAUAAUGGACUAAAGCAUUUUUUUAUUCAACAGACUCACGGCUUUAUUUCUGUCUGGACUCAUAGGAUUCAUCUGUCUGUGCCGCUUAACCAGUUCUGCUGAUGUUCUCACAGAUGGAUGACGUGUUUACUUUCUUCACUUGUUGCCUCUAAACACAAACAACAAAAAAGAUAUCUACAGAAAGAUAAUACAUCAUAUAGCUACUGAAUUCAUACACUGAUCAGCAGUCCAGACAGAAUCUGUGGAGUUUUAAAAUGUGUUAAAUGUAGCUAAAACAUCUUCAAGUCAUCUGUGGAGUUCAGUACAGAUUCUCGCUUGUCUUUGUCUGCAUGUUUUAUACAUUAAUGAGUGAACGUCUACCUAAUAAAGUGACAAUAAAAUGAAUAAUACAUUCCACAAUCUGAAUUUUGAUAUUCUGAUCUAGUCUUUUUCCAAGUGUAUUAAUGUCACAGGUGUUUUGGCACAUUUAUGUUACUUGUACUUAUGUUACUACCGUCCUUUUAGUGUGAGCCUUUGCCCCAGAUCUGCUGUCUGUUAAAGUGAAGAUAGCUGUACAUGUGGUCUCAUGAUCAAUGUUGAUCUUCAUAGAA